rnacentral:rRNA from 1 species
CCUACGGGAGGCUGCAGUGGGGAAUAUUGCACAAUGGGCGAAACCCUGAUGCAGCGACGCCGCGUGAGUGAAGAAGGAAUUCGUUAUGUAAAGCUCUAUCAGCCGGGAAGAAAAGGACGGUACGGGAGGAAGAAGCCCGAGCUAACGACGUGCCAGCAGCCGCGGAAAUACGUAGGGCGCAAGCGUUAUUCGGGUUUACUGGGGGUAAAGGGAGCGUAGACGGGAGUGCAGGUCUGGAGGUAAAGGCGGGGGCCCAACCCCCGGACUGCUCUGGAAACUGUCCGGCUGGAGUGCAGGAGAGGUAAGUGGAAUUCCUAGUGUAGCGGUGAAAUGCGUAGAUAUUAGGAGGAACACCAGUGGCGAAGGCGGCUUACUGGACUGUAACUGACGUUGAGGUUCGAAAGCGUGGGGAGCAAACAGGAUUAGAUACCCUUGUAGUC